GCCUGUGAUGAUACAAUCCAACUUGUUUAGGUGUAGUGGAGCCGAGACCCUGUUUCAGGGAGAACCUACUUGGUGUAAGCUACAUUAUAAUGAUAUUAAUGGAUUCAACUGAGGC
rnacentral:snoRNA from 1 species